GCUAGGAAUUGAGAGAGGCUUCCAUGACGGAAACGUUUUGGGGGCCUUUUUCUUUUGUCGCGGUCUCUCCUCUUGACCAA
rnacentral:antisense_RNA from 1 species